rnacentral:rRNA from 1 species
GUGCUGCAUGGCUGUCGUCAGCUCGUGUUGUGAAAUGUUGGGUUAAGUCCCGCAACGAGCGCAACCCUUAUCCUUUGUUGCCAGCGGUUAGGCCGGGAACUCAAAGGAGACUGCCAGUGAUAAACUGGAGGAAGGUGGGGAUGACGUCAAGUCAUCAUGGCCCUUACGAGUAGGGCUACACACGUGCUACAAUGGCGCAUACAAAGAGAAGCGACCUCGCGAGAGCAAGCGGACCUCAUAAAGUGCGUCGUAGUCCGGAUUGGAGUCUGCAACUCGACUCCAUGAAGUCGGAAUCGCUAGUAAUCGUGGAUCAGAAUGCCACGGUGAAUACGUUCCCGGGCCUUGUACACACCGCCCGUCACACCAUGGGAGUGGGUUGCAAAAGAAGUAGGUAGCUUAACCUUCGGGAGGGCGCUUACCACUUUGUGAUUCAUGACUGGGGUGAAGUCGUAACAAGGUAACCGUAGGGGAACCUGCGGUUGGAUCACCUCCUU